UACGUAGGGCGCAAGCGUUAUCCGGAAUUAUUGGGCGUAAAGGGCUCGUAGGCGGUUUGUCACGUCGGGAGUGAAAACUCGGGGCUUAACCCCGAGCCUGCUUCCGAUACGGGCUGACUAGAGGUAUGCAGGGGAGAACGGAAUUCCUGGUGUAGCGGUGAAAUGCGCAGAUAUCAGGAGGAACACCGGUGGCGAAGGCGGUUCUCUGGGCAUUACCUGACGCUGAGGAGCGAAAGUGUGGGGAGCGAACAGG
rnacentral:rRNA from 1 species